rnacentral:rRNA from 1 species
GAUGAACGCUGGCUACAGGCUUAACACAUGCAAGUCGAGGGGAAACGGCAUUGAGUGCUUGCACUGAAUGGACGUCGACCGGCGCACGGGUGAGUAACGCGUAUCCAACCUUCCCGUUACUGCGGGAUAACCUGCCGAAAGGCAGACUAAUACCGCAUGUUCUUCGAUGACGGCAUCAGAUUCGAAGCAAAGAUUCAUCGGUAACGGAGGGGGAUGCGUCUGAUUAGCUUGUUGGCGGGGCAACGGCCCACCAAGGCGACGAUCAGUAGGGGUUCUGAGAGGAAGGUCCCCCACAUUGGAACUGAGACACGGUCCAAACUCCUACGGGAGGCAGCAGUGAGGAAUAUUGGUCAAUGGGCGGAAGCCUGAACCAGCCAAGUAGCGUGCAGGACGACGGCCCUACGGGUUGUAAACUGCUUUUAUGCGGGGAUAAAGUGAGGGACGCGUCCCUUUUUGCAGGUACCGCAUGAAUAAGGACCGGCUAAUUCCGUGCCAGCAGCCGCGGUAAUACGGAAGGUCCGGGCGUUAUCCGGAUUUAUUGGGUUUAAAGGGAGCGUAGGCCGGGGAUUAAGUGUGUUGUGAAAUGUAGGCGCCCAACGUCUGACUUGCAGCGCAUACUGGUUCCCUUGAGUACGCGCAACGCGGCGGAAUUCGUCGUGUAGCGGUGAAAUGCUUAGAUAUGACGAAGAACCCCGAUUGCGAAGGCAGCCGGCGGGAGCGCAACUGACGCUGAAGCUCGAAGGUGCGGGUAUCGAACAGGAUUAGAUACCCUGGUAGUCCGCACGGAUAAACGAUGGAUGCCCGCUGUCGGCGCCUUGCGCCGGCGGCCAAGCGAAAGCGUUAAGCAUCCCACCUGGGGGAGUACGCCGGCAACGGUGAAACUCAAAGGAAUUGACGGGGGCCCGCACAAGCGGAGGAACAUGUGGUUUAAUUCGAUGAUACGC